GAAAUACUCUCUUCGUUUCAUAAUUCUUGUCGAAAUAUUAUAUGUAUCUAGACACUUUUUAGAAAUAGAUACAUCUAUUUUUGAUCAAAUUUGAGACAAGAAUUAUGAAAUGGAUGGAGUACCUA
rnacentral:pre_miRNA from 1 species